CUGCUUGCAAUAAUCAAACAUCCAAUGAACCUACCUUAAAAAGAUAUAUGCAGAGUCAAAGAAAAAGGUUAUUACAACUAAAACAUCAUAUAAAUUAACUGCAAACCAACAUCUAUAGGAUUUACAUUAUUUUUUUUAGAGACAAACGAAUAAACA